rnacentral:lncRNA from 7 species
CAGACAACAGCUUAAUGGUUACCUAGUAAGAAGAUUAACUCUGGAAAGUGUAUUAAGACAGCAAAGACUAUGAGAAAAGCAAAACAAAAGCAAGAUCAAAGUAAAUCUAAAUCGCUGUACUCAUGUCAGUGUGUCCUGGGACUACUGUAAAUAUUUUCUUGCUAUGCUCCUAUCCUCAGUGCUGUCAGUCUUCAAAUCCAUCUUUGCACUCUGUGAGAAACCCAGAGAGCUGAGCAGAACAUCCAGCUGCAUUCAGGGUCAGUGCAGUAGAGCCUGGCUCCUUGUUGCAAUAGAGGUUUCAGUGACAAGAAAGGAGUGGAUUACUGUCUUCACUCACUUGCCUUGGACACUUUACUGUUCUCCUCCGUUCCUGGAGGAGCACAGUCAGCUGCUACAAUCUCCAUCAUGUAUUUGCCUUUGAACAUUGGUAUCUUUCCUCAGCUCCCUGCAACAGUUCUGCAGGGCAGGACAAACCUCAAGGAAGGCAUCCUCAUGGAGAAUGCUCUAAUAGAUCUUCAAGAAAAACCUAAAAACUGUCCAGUGCUUUCUAGCACAUAUCACUGCUGUUCCCUCAGCUAGAACCCAAGCAGCUGUAACACCUCUCUGUCUUGCUGUGACACGUGACAGACACCCUCACCUGGAUGCUGUCAUGGCACAGAUCCAUGAAGACAUGAAUGCAUCUGUCCUAGCUCAAGCUACUCAGCUGUUGUCUGUGUUAGUAGAGCUGCUUCUGCAGGUAGCAAGGCAAUUAUGCAAGAGGUAACCAGCCCACCUCAAACCUCAAUUGACUGCAAUCCCAGCUCUCCACAGGGACUGAAAAGUAAGUUCAGGAGACCAGGAUUAACAGCAGACACUGCCUUUGUUUGGAGGGGUCAAUCUGGGCUUUUGCUUUUGUAGGUGAGGUCUCACCUGCCUACUGCUCCUUAACUCAAUUAUCUUAAACAAAAACAACAAUGAGAAAGCACCUGAAAGCAGCAUUGCCCUGGCAACCACAUUGAAGCACCGCUGUCAAUAGUAGGCCAGCUCCAAGAGAAGAGACACGAUCAAGUAUAUUAGAUAACAUGCCAACACAUUCCACUCUUCUGCAGAAAGUCCCCCCCCCGUGUCCUCUUCUGACCUUUUGUUCACUUGUUUUGUUCACUCUAACCUCAAAGCCUACCACUGGAAAUCCCCCGUUAUUAGGAACACGGAGUUAAAAUUGACAAUUCAGUACUGAAAGCAGUCACAUCCCCACUUCAUAAUCUCAACAUUUAUGGCAAAACUCACCGCACCACUCCCCUCAGUAUUCACAGAGCCUGCAGAGGACUUACCCUUCACCUUCUCUCAACCUGAAAGGUCCCCAGUUCAAGACAAAUGAUCCACUGGUGGUGCAGCAACUGCAGACUGCCAAAAGAGAGGGCUUGUGGCCAUACUGUAAUUCCAAAGCACUCGUCAACAGCACUUCCCCAAGUGACAAAGGACUGGGAGAGAAGAGAGAAAGACGGGAAACACUAUCCGGGGUGUAUACUUUGCAGUUUGAAGAGAGAGCAUCCAGAACCCUCUACUUUAAUUCUACCAAGGUGUCUUUCUGCUCAGUAAGAACCUACAGAAAUAGAUAAAAAGGGGGUUCUAGUU